GAUGAACGCUGGCGGCGUGCUUAACACAUGCAAGUAGAACGAAGUGGCGGAUGGGCGAGUAACACGUGAGGAACCUGCCUUUCACAGGGGAAUAACACUGUGAAACCAAUGCUAAUACCGCAUAGUGAAAGAUGGCCUCGCGCCUGAUUGGCUAGUAGGUGAGGUAACGCCUCACCUAGGUGAUGAUCAGUCGCCGCACGGAAGGUAGAUCGGCCGCAUUGGGACGGGGACACGGCGCAGAAUCCUACGGGAGGCAGCAGUGGGGAAGAUUGGGCAAUGGCGGAAGGCUGACACAGCAACGCCGCGGGAAGGAAGACGGUCUUCGGAUUGUAAACUUCUUUAGACAGGGACGCGGUACCUGUAGAAUAAGCCACGGCUAACUACGUGCCAGCAGCCGCGGUAAUAC
rnacentral:rRNA from 1 species